UCGGGAAUAUUGCGCAAUGGAGGAAACUCUGACGCAGUGACGCCGCGUGCAGGAAGAAGGUUUUCGGAUUGUAAACUGCUUUAGACAGGGAAGAACAAAGACAGUACCUGUAGAAUAAGCUCCGGCUAACUACGUGCCAGCAGCCGCGGUAAUACGUAGGGAGCAAGCGUUAUCCGGAUUUAUUGGGUGUAAAGGGUGCGUAGACGGGAAAACAAGUUAGUUGUGAAAUCCCUCGGCUUAACUGAGGAACUGCAACUAAAACUAUUUUUCUUGAGUGUUGGAGAGGGAAGUGGAAUUCCUAGUGUAGCGGUGAAAUGCGUAGAUAUUAGGAGGAACACCAGUGGCGAAGGCGACUUUCUGGGACAAUAACUGACGUUGAGGCACGAAAGUGUGGGAGCAAACAGGAUUAGAUACC
rnacentral:rRNA from 1 species